rnacentral:rRNA from 1 species
GUUGUUGGGUAGGGGAGCGUUCUGUAAGCCUGUGAAGGUGGCCUGUGAGGGUUGCUGGAGGUAUCAGAAGUGCGAAUGCUGACAUAAGUAACGAUAAAGCGGGUGAAAAGCCCGCUCGCCGGAAGACCAAGGGUUCCUGUCCAACGUUAAUCGGGGCAGGGUGAGUCGACCCCUAAGGCGAGGCCGAAAGGCGUAGUCGAUGGGAAACGGGUUAAUAUUCCCGUACUUGGUGUUACUGCGAAGGGGGGACGGAGAAGGCUAUGUUGGCCGGGCGACGGUUGUCCCGGUUUAAGCGUGUAGGUGUGUGUUCCAGGUAAAUCCGGUUCACUUUAACACUGAGGCGUGAUGACGAGGCACUACGGUGCUGAAGCAACAAAUGCCCUGCUUCCAGGAAAAGCCUCUAAGCAUCAGGUAACAUCAAAUCGUACCCCAAACCGACACAGGUGGUCAGGUAGAGAAUACCAAGGCGCUUGAGAGAACUCGGGUGAAGGAACUAGGCAAAAUGGUGCCGUAACUUCGGGAGAAGGCACGCUGACAUGUAGGUGAAGUGAUUUACUCAUGGAGCUGAAGUCAGUCGAAGAUACCAGCUGGCUGCAACUGUUUAUUAAAAACACAGCACUGUGCAAACACGAAAGUGGACGUAUACGGUGUGACGCCUGCCCGGUGCCGGAAGGUUAAUUGAUGGGGUCAGCGCAAGCGAAGCUCCUGAUCGAAGCCCCGGUAAACGGCGGCCGUAACUAUAACGGUCCUAAGGUAGCGAAAUUCCUUGUCGGGUAAGUUCCGACCUGCACGAAUGGCGUAAUGAUGGCCAGGCUGUCUCCACCCGAGACUCAGUGAAAUUGAACUCGCUGUGAAGAUGCAGUGUACCCGCGGCAAGACGGAAAGACCCCGUGAACCUUUACUAUAGCUUGACACUGAACAUUGAGCCUUGAUGUGUAGGAUAGGUGGGAGGCUUUGAAGUGUGGACGCCAGUCUGCAUGGAGCCGACCUUGAAAUACCACCCUUUAAUGUUUGAUGUUCUAACGUGGACCCGUAAUCCGGGUUGCGGACAGUGUCUGGUGGGUAGUUUGACUGGGGCGGUCUCCUCCUAAAGAGUAACGGAGGAGCACGAAGGUUGGCUAAUCCUGGUCGGACAUCAGGAGGUUAGUGCAAUGGCAUAAGCCAGCUUGACUGCGAGCGUGACGGCGCGAGCAGGUGCGAAAGCAGGUCAUAGUGAUCCGGUGGUUCUGAAUGGAAGGGCCAUCGCUCAACGGAUAAAAGGUACUCCGGGGAUAACAGGCUGAUACCGCCCAAGAGUUCAUAUCGACGGCGGUGUUUGGCACCUCGAUGUCGGCUCAUCACAUCCUGGGGCUGAAGUAGGUCCCAAGGGUAUGGCUGUUCGCCAUUUAAAGUGGUACGCGAGCUGGGUUUAGAACGUCGUGAGACAGUUCGGUCCCUAUCUGCCGUGGGCGCUGGAGAACUGAGGGGGGCUGCUCCUAGUACGAGAGGACCGGAGUGGACGCAUCACUGGUGUUCGGGUUGUCAUGCCAAUGGCACUGCCCGGUAGCUAAAUGCGGAAGAGAUAAGUGCUGAAAGCAUCUAAGCACGAAACUUGCCCCGAGAUGAGUUCUCCCUGAGACUUUAAGUCUCCUGAAGGAACGUUGAAGACGACGACGUUGAUAGGCCGGGUGUGUAAGCGCAGCGAUGCGUUGAGCUAACCGGUACUAAUGAACCGUGAGGCUUAACCUUAC